ACUCCUGCGGGAGGCAGCAGUGGGGAAUAUUGGACAAUGGGCGCAAGCCUGAUCCAGCCAUGCCGCGUGAGUGAUGAAGGCCCUAGGGUUGUAAAGCUCUUUCACCGGAGAAGAUAAUGACGGUAUCCGGAGAAGAAGCCCCGGCUAACUUCGUGCCAGCAGCCGCGGUAAUACGAAGGGGGCUAGCGUUGUUCGGAAUUACUGGGCGUAAAGCGCACGUAGGCGGAUCGAUCAGUCAGGGGUGAAAUCCCAGGGCUCAACCCUGGAACUGCCUUUGAUACUGUCGAUCUGGAGUAUGGAAGAGGUGAGUGGAAUUCCGAGUGUAGAGGUGAAAUUCGUAGAUAUUCGGAGGAACACCAGUGGCGAAGGCGGCUCACUGGUCCAUUACUGACGCUGAGGUGCGAAAGCGUGGGGAGCAAACAGGAUUAGAAACCCUAGUAGUCCCAU
rnacentral:rRNA from 1 species